rnacentral:rRNA from 1 species
UAGGGAAUCUUCGGCAAUGGACGAAAGUCUGACCGAGCAACGCCGCGUGAGUGAAGAAGGUUUUCGGAUCGUAAAACUCUGUUGUUAGAGAAGAACAAGGAUGAGAGUAAAAUGUUCAUCCCUUGACGGUAUCUAACCAGAAAGCCACGGCUAACUACGUGCCAGCAGCCGCGGUAAUACGUAGGUGGCAAGCGUUGUCCGGAUUUAUUGGGCGUAAAGCGAGCGCAGGCGGUUUCUUAAGUCUGAUGUGAAAGCCCCCGGCUCAACCGGGGAGGGUCAUUGGAAACUGGGAAACUUGAGUGCAGAAGAGGAGAGUGGAAUUCCAUGUGUAGCGGUGAAAUGCGUAGAUAUAUGGAGGAACACCAGUGGCGAAGGCGGCUCUCUGGUCUGUAACUGACGCUGAGGCUCGAAAGCGUGGGGAGCAAACAGGAUUAGAUACCCUGGUAGUCCACGCCGUAAACGAUGAGUGCUAAGUGUUGGAGGGUUUCCGCCCUUCAGUGCUGCAGCUAACGCAUUAAGCACUCCGCCUGGGGAGUACGACCGCAAGGUUGAAAUC